rnacentral:pre_miRNA from 1 species
CUUCCUGUGCUAAGGUGCAUCUAGUGCAGUUAGUGAAGUAGCUUAGAAUCUACUGCCCUGAAUGCUCCUUCUGGCAUAGGAG